UACGUAGGGUGCAAGCGUUGUCCGGAAUUAUUGGGCGUAAAGAGCUCGUAGGCGGUUUGUUGCGUCGGCUGUGAAAUCCCGAGGCUCAACCUCGGGUCUGCAGUCGAUACGAGCAAACUAGAGUGUUGCAGGGGAGACUGGAAUUCCUGGUGUAGCGGUGAAAUGCGUUGAUAUCAUCUGGAAUACCGGAGGCGAAGGCGGCUCACUGGCCCGAUACUGACGCUGAGGCACGAAAGCGUGGGGAGCAAACAGG
rnacentral:rRNA from 1 species